GAGAACGAAACCAGCAGUAGGUCAGCUUCCAUCCCCCAGCCUCCCAGCUGGACCCGAGGGCUUGCUCCUGCAUCCCUCCUCUCCUGCUCACAUGUCUCUGCGGACCAGCAGGGCGCAGAACGCCACGGAGGCAGAGGGGCGAUGCUGAGCUUCCCCCGCCAUUUCCAUGUUGAGCUAUUUUUAGCUGCCGCUGUUGCAAUAUAAAGAAUGUUUGGCGUGGGGAGCUCUUUGCAGAGAGGGUGCGUUGUCACUUUAAGGAGGAGCUGGACUUCAGGGGGUGGGGACAGUUAGCAGUGGGGCUGGGGUGGCCUGGCUUUCAAUCACUACCUAGAGAAGACAGGGGCAGUGUGUGUACGCGUGUGUUUGUCUGUGGCUAGGGACUACUUACUGAAAGGGUUUGCAAAAGACUCUGGGAGAACGACCAUGGAUCUGUUGCGGGAGGCCAACUGAUUUUCCCAGCACCAAAGCUGGGCAGUGACUUCACCCAGGAAGGACUGUGCGACAGCUGGCUGGCGUGGCUUCGGGCACUGCUCAUUUUCAAGCCAGAGAAGCAUGUGGCUGGUUUCUGGAUCAACAUUUUGGAUUAGUGGAGCUGCUUUCCUUGUCAGUCUCAAGGCCUAGGUUGUAGCCACCGUUUGCAGAGCCAAUCAGAGGUCUGACUUCCUAGAAGCAUGGCUACCAGUGCUGUACCAAGUGACAAUCUCCCCACAUACAAGCUGGUGGUGGUUGGAGAUGGUGGUGUAGGCAAGAGCGCCCUGACCAUCCAAUUUUUCCAGAAGAUCUUUGUGCCAGACUAUGACCCAACCAUUGAAGAUUCUUACCUGAAGCACACAGAAAUUGACAACCAGUGGGCCAUCCUUGAUGUUUUGGAUACUGCUGGCCAAGAGGAAUUCAGUGCAAUGAGGGAACAAUACAUGAGGACAGGAGAUGGCUUUCUCAUUGUCUUCUCUGUCACAGAUAAAGCCAGCUUUGAGCAUGUAGACCGGUUUCACCAGCUCAUCCUCAGAGUCAAAGACAGGGAGUCCUUUCCAAUGAUCUUGGUGGCCAACAAAGUUGAUCUGAUGCACUUGAGGAAAAUCACCCGGGAACAAGGAAAAGAAAUGGCAACAAAACACAAUGUAGGUUGCAUGAGUGCAUAUGGUUUGGUGGGAAGAGGAGCAAAAUCUAAAAAAGUCUAAAGUAAGAAAUCAAAGUUGAAAUAAAUCCUUGUCUUUCUUCAAUGGCAUUAGAGAUAUAUAGACUUCAGCUUGACAGUGAAUAACAGAAAUAAAACUCCAGACACUUAAUUCAUCCAUCUAAGGAAGAAUUAGGAAGAAUGAUAGAAUUUUCAUUUCAAAUUCAAAAAAAAUUUCAUUUCAAAACAAUGAUGGCAAUAAUAAUAUUUAUAACAAUAAUUAGCACUUAUAAAGUGAUUUAAGGUUAUCAAAAGGCUUUAAAAAUAUCUCAUUUGGUUCUCACAACAAUUCUAGUAAGUAGGUAGGACUAUUGGCAUUCACAUUUUUUAUUUUAUUUCACUUAUUUAUUUAUUUAUUUAUUUUUAUUGUUUUUAUUUGGUCAAUUGUAAACAUUAUUCCUUGGUUACAAAAAUCAUAUUCUAUUCCUCCCUCCCCUCCCCACACCAUUCCUGUAGUCGACACACAAUUCCAUGGGGUAUUACAUGUGACCUUGAUCAGAACCUAUUUCCAUGUUUCUGUUGUUUUCACUAAGAUGUUCAUUUAGGGUCUAUAUCCCCAAUCAUAUCCCCCUCUACCCAUGUAAUCAAGCAGUUGUUUUUCUUUGGUGUUUCUACUCCCACAGUGUUUCCUCUGAAUGUGGAUAGUGUUCUUUCUAAUAGAUCCCUCUGGGUUGUUCAGGAUCACUGCAUUGCCACUAAUGGAGAAGUCCACCACAGUGCAUCAGUCUCUGUGUACAAUGUUCUCCUGCUUCUACUCCUUUCACUCUGCAUUAAUUCCUGGAGUUCAUUUCAGUUCACAUGGAACUCCUCCAUUUUAUUAUUUCUUUGAGCACAAUAGUAUUCCAUCACCAACAUAUGCCACAAUUUGUUCAGCCAUUCCCCAAUUGAAGGGCAUCCCCUCAUUUUCCAAUUUUUUGCCACCACAAAGAGCGCAGCUAUGAAUAUUCUUUUACAAGUCUUUUUCCUUAUGAUCUCUUUGGGGUACAAACCCAGCAGUGCUAUGGCUGGAUCAAAGGGCAGACAGCCUUUUAGUGCGGCAUAGUUCCAAAUUGCCCUCCAGAAUGGUUGGAUCAAUUCACAACUCCACCAGCAAUGCAUUAAUGUCCCUAAUGAUUGGUGCUCAUUGGUAUCUGAAUUGUCUCUUUUUGGCUUCUUGUAGAAUUUUCUCCUUAGCUUUAAAGCUCUUGAAUUUGGCAAUUACAUUCCUGGGAGUUGUCUUUUGAGGAUUUAGUGUAGAGGGUGUUCUAUGAACUCUUUCAAUGUCCAUUCCCCACCCCCCACCCCCUUGUUCAAGAACAUCAGGGCAGUUUUCUUGGAUGAUUUCUUGUAGUAUGAUGUCAAGAUUUCUGUUUAUUUCUGACUUUUCAGGUAGACCAAUGAUUCUCAGAUUGCCUCUCCUUGAUCUGUUUUCCUGAUCUGUCAUCUUCUCAGUGAAUAUUUCAUGUUUUCUUCUAUUUUGUCAGUCUUUUGACUUUGCUUUAUUAAUUCUUGCUGUUUUGCAAGAUCAUUGUCUUCCAAUUGCCUAAUUCUGGAUUUUAAAGACUGAUUUUGCUUUUCAGUUUGAUCUGUCCUGCUUUUUGUGGCUUCCAGCUAUUUCUCCAAUUGGGAGUUCUUGUCCUUUACACUGUUAUUUUCUCUUUGAAUUAUUUCCCACCUUUAAUACCAGAAGGCUUCCAUCUUUUUGAUAAGCUCCAAUUUAAAUUCGUGAAGAGCUUAUGGGCAAUUUCCAUUUUGGGGGAAGGUUUUAAUGCAUUUGAGUUUCUUCUUCUAUUUCCUCUAUCGUCUGGGUUUUUCCUCCUUAAAAAUUUUCCAGGGUCAACCCCUUCUUGUUUUUCUUGGUGGAGGGAGGUUGUUGUUCCUGGGCACUAUUUGCCAUCACUGUGGAGGUUUUUCCUUCUCUUUUUAGUCAGAAAUCUGAGUGAGAUGGGCAGGCUCUCUGUGUAUGGAGUUAAGGAGCAAGAAUUUUGCCUGAGGCCAGUUCUUGAAUCUCUGCAGCUUCUGCUGUUUGAUGUCCUUCUCUGUGCUAUCUUCCCUCAAGAGUCCAUGGUCUGUGCUCUUCAGCCUGCUGGGGUUUCAGAUCUAGCUGCUCUCAGGGGUAGGUCUUUGGGGUCUUAGUCAGCUCCCAAAGACCUAGAGGUGCCCCUCACUCACUCACUGAUUCUGUCAACCAAUGGCUCUGACUCUGGCUCUGUAGGUGGGGUGGGGAGGGUAGAUCAGCUCAUGUUUUGGUGGGAGCUUUUUCACCCCCUUUUAGUGUGGAAAUGCCGAAAUCCCACCUACCUUCAAUGCUGUGCCCUACUGUAGAGUCCCUUCGGUUCAUCUGAAUUUGUGUUUUUUUGUAUUUUGAGGUAGUCUAUAUUGGUAGGUGCUGAAGAGAGGAAGACUCCUGUAUCCAGAAUGCUGCCAUAUUCACCUGGAAGUCAGCAUUCCCAUUUUUAGAAAGAAACUGAGGCAGAGACUUGCCAGAGUAAAAUACUUAGGAAGUGGGAUUUGAACUUGUCUUCUUGCUCUGAGAUGAUGCAAAUGUGUGUGUGUGUGUGUGUGUGUGUGUGUGUGUGUGUGUGUGUGUGUGUGUGUGUGUGUGAUUACCUUCUCUUUCUUGAAGAUCUUUUUAGUAACCAUAUAGGCAUUUUGUUUUGUAGAACCAUUCAGCUCCUCCAGAAUUUACUUUUGCUUGAUUUGUCCAGAUUGACUAUCCUGAUAACAACAGGUACAGAAUUAUGUGCAACCCUCUGUUGUAGAGGGGACAUAGUAUAUUGGGUGAAGGGAAACUUAGGAAGAAGGAAAAAAACAAAAUCCACUUGCCAGGCAUUUAGAAGACCUGGAUACAAGUUUUGUUACUAGAUGUGAUUCUAGAGAAAUCACUUCACCUCCAUACCUUAGUUUCUUUAUCUGUAAAAUGAGGGGAAUAAUCUUUAUAAUUACCUACCUCACAAAGCUGUGUAGGAAAAAGUAUUUUAUAAAUUGCAAACCAUGUUGGAAAUGUGAGCUGCUGUUAUUGAGUUGAGCUGACUCACUCAAUGAGUGAGUGGUUAGCUUAGUUGGUUAGAAAGCAUGGGUUCAAACCCUGUGUGGGCCAGUGUUUCUCUCUGUUCCUUAGCCAAACACAACACACCUUCACCCCCAAUCAGCCAGCUCACAAAUGUAUGCCUUCGUUCAAAGGUGGAGCCAAAUAAAAGAAAGGAUGGAUCAGUUCAAAGUCCUUCUCCCUGCUGGGAAAAUGACUCAAAGUGUGUGCAGGGAUUUUGUAGGUCCUUCCUUUAGUGCAUUGUAAGUCAAAUUUGCCUCUAUAUACCAUGUAUAUUAGAAAAUACUGAAAUGUGAGUUGUAUAAUAACCUUUCAAUGUUAUUUAUGAGAAUUUGCAAUGAAUUAUGUGGUAUCUUAGAUCCUAAACAGACUAGGAGAUUUUUAGUUUUGUAAUAAAAAGAAGGGAGAAGAGUCUUUGGUUUAAUGAAUUUGAUUAUGUCUUGCCUUAGUCACUUACCAUUCAUGUGACCUUGGACAAAUCAUUUAUCUUCCUUGGGCCUCAAUAUGUUCGUUGUAAAAUGUGGGAAGUUUGAUUAGAUAACUUUUGAGGUCCCUUCCAUCCCUAAAUCUAUAAUCCUGAGCCUUUUUCAAUUAUACUUUUUAGGGUUACAUCCAGAGACAGAGUUCUUAAUCAUUUAACUGAACUGAAGUUUUAUCUGUUUCCAAGAUAAUCAGACAGUUAUUCUAUCAACUGACCUUCUCUCUCCCUACCGUUACCCCACCUAAAGUUAAUUAAUAGAACAGAGUUUCCUAAAUAUCUUUGUGUCAUGGAAUCCUUUGGCAGUCUGAUGAAGUUUAUGAACCCCUUCUCAAAACAAUAUUUUUAAAUCCAUAAAUACAUGAAACUAAAAAGAAAAUGGGGGAGGAGUGGCUUAGUGAAUUAAGAAUGAGGCAGAGAGAUGGGAGGUCCAGGGUUCAAAUCUGACUUCAGACAUUUCCUAGCUGGGUGACCUUGGGUAAGUCACUCAGUUCCAAUUGUCUGGCCCUUACUGGUCUUCUGCCUUGGAACCAAUACUUAGUAUCUAUUCUAAGACAGAAAGUUAGGGUUAAGAAAAAAAGAAAUCAGUUACAUUGAAAUAUAGUUGUCAAAAUAUUAAAAAAACAAGUUCAUCAAUCUCAGGUUAAGAAUCCCAUGAUAGACCUCACAGCCUAAAAUAAUUGUAUCCCCAAGUCUUUGUCUAGAGUUUACUUCCUAUUUUCCUUGCUCUAAAUUCACUCGCUGAAUUACAAAGGAGAUAUGGAAUAAGGGGGAGGGGGAGUUAAUUUGGUUAAUUAGAUAAGAAAAUUGCUUAUAAGAAGGUCCCCAGCUUAGAGAAAGGAAGUUUUGAAGGGUUACCUUAAGAUCAAGCUAGAAUAUUCUUGGAGGUUCCUUAAAAGAAUUCCCAGUGAUCCCUUGGUGGGAAUGUGGGGAGUUAACUGCCACUCUUGGGUUGGUCCUCUCAAGAGAAGGAGGUGAAAUUCCCUUGGAUUUGCUGGUGGAAGAUUUUUAGAGACGGUUGGUCUGGAAAAAAGUGCGCACACCAAUGAAAUCAUGGUUCCUUGGAAUUCCAUACAUAGAGACCAGUGCUAAAGAUCCUCCACUAAAUGUUGACAAAGCCUUUCAUGACCUCGUUAGAGUAAUAAGGCAACAGGUUCCAGAGAAAAGCCAGAAGAAAAAGAAGAAAA